rnacentral:rRNA from 1 species
GUCGGAGAGUUUGAUCCUGGCUCAGGACGAACGCUGGCGGCGUGCCUAACACAUGCAAGUCGAGCGGACCCGUUCCAUCUCCGCGGAGUUAUCUCCAAGGAAGGAGCGGGUCAGCGGCGAACGGGUGAGUAACACGUGGGUAACCUACCCCGAAGACUGGGAUAACCCCGGGAAACCGGGGCUAAUACCGGAUACCUUCCCACCACCGCAUGGUGGAGGGAAGAAAGGUUGGCUUCGGCCUUCCGCUUCGGGAUGGGCCCGCGGCCCAUUAGCUUGUUGGUGGGGUAACGGCCUACCAAGGCGACGAUGGGUAGCCGGCCUGAGAGGGUGUCCGGCCACACUGGGACUGAGACACGGCCCAGACUCCUACGGGAGGCAGCAGUGAGGAAUAUUGCGCAAUGGGCGAAAGCCUGACGCAGCGACGCCGCGUG